UCAAAAAUCAGUUACAAUAGCGCGAAUCAAAGGCAAAUAAAUUACUUCAUAACAGCGACGCCUCGUCCAUCAACUCCACAUAUUUAACAUACAUAUCGUUAGCUUAGGGUGAAAAGUUGCUAAGUCCAUCUUUUAUGAAACCCUACAUUUCGAUACAGAAAACAAGGGAAAUUAUUCCAGAAGAGAGAGAAUUUCCAAAAGACCGAAUUAAUUAUUUUAGUUCUUUCUGUUCACUUCUAUGCAGUAAAACAAAUACUUCCCUAGUCCA